rnacentral:tRNA from 1 species
AUUUAAAUAGUUUAAUAAGUGAAAGAAAAUAUUAGUUUGUGGCACUAAAGAUAUAUGUAUUAUUUUAAAUU